GCGUCGGUGGUUCAGUGGUAGAAUACUCACCUGGCACGCGGGUGACCCGGGUUCGAUUCCCGGCCGACGCA
rnacentral:tRNA from 1 species